rnacentral:lncRNA from 1 species
GGGGAGGAAGGCGUGGGUGUGUUUCCGGCACUGUUUGCUACCAGCUAGCUAAUGUUUGGUCUCCUUAUCUUAGGAGAGGGUAAUGGCUGGUGCCAGCAUGGAGGCCGCCUGAUCUCAAUCUGACUCUAAAGUUAUUAACAGAGCUACCAGGAGGCAGGCCUCCGUGUGGGCCCGCAGCCAGAGCUUCAGGAAGAGGGCCUAAGGAAGAAGAACAGACUUGGCCUCCGGUUACUAGGUAACCUAAGAGGAACAUCUUUUAAUAGAGCCCCAAAUCUGCAUCAUCAGGGCCUCCUGCUCUCACUGUGUUCCAGGAAGUACUCCCUUCCAGUGUUUUUCUACAGUUGGAGGUGAGAGGAUGGAUUGAGAAGGAGUAGCAGAGAUCUCAGCCCCUGGAAACUUGGAUUAAUCAACUGACAUCUGGGUAUUCUUUUGCAGGAAUCCAAGUUUCUUGUAAGGUGGAGGAAGCUCUUCAAAGAAGAAAGGAGUUGGGAAUCCUUAUUCCCCCAGCAAUGAGCAACUGUAGAAACACUCCUCUCACAGACCUGGCAAAUGGCUUCUAGUGUUUUUGGUCCAAACACUACAUCUCCCCAGCUCUGUGUCACAUCUUGGCGCUGCAUAGCCCAGUAGUACCACAUCAUCUCGUGGCACUGAGCCAAGAGCGUGCCCGGCGGCGCUUAGCACCAUACAGGAAGUCUGUGGGGCCCUGCAAGCUCCCUCUACCACACUCCUACUGGAGCAGAGGAGGAGAUUAUCAGGCGGCAAAGUCAUGGUGUUGCUAUGAUUACUCUGAUGUGUAAUAAAUCUGUGUGGUGUGAUAAAUUAAGGCAAGGCUCUGUUCUCACUUUACACGCUGCCAAUAGUUUUAUUGUAACAGCUCGAAGUCGCGAGUUUUCCUUUUUAGGCAGAACAGAGGAAGCUGUGAAAUUUGAAGAGAGAACAAAAGGAUACUUGAAUGUAGUUUGCAAGACAGGUAUCUUACAUGAGCGGGCUCAUCAGGUCAUCCAACACGGAACAUUUCUGUGCUUAAUGGCGUUGGGAAACUUGGAGGCCUUACAAUGCCCACAAGAAUUCAUUUGAAUUCAUUUUCAUAUCAAUGUGUGUGCAUUCUGCAGAGCUGACCUCUCUAACGAGACUUCCAGUGCUUUCUUUCAGUGAUAAACCUGAGCUGAUGGUAUGAUCACAAAUUGGUUCUGAAACUCAUUAAAGUCAGCAAAUGAGCAUUAGUGAGAUAGUUGCAUAGGCUGAAAUUGUGAUAAUCUGUUCAUUUUGGCAAUUGCAGCUCAGGCGGUGAAGAGAGGGCUGGUGAGAAACCCUACAACUCCCAGCAGGAAGACUAUGCUCCGUUUCAGAGGCCUGUCCAGAGGUGCACGUGCCCUGGCUUUUCUUCCUGUACACCAUGCACCUUGCUUCUGCAGGAGGCAAGGGAGCGCUUGAGAAAUGCUCCUCCUCUAACCUUUGCCAAGUUCAAAGCCCAAGGGAGGCCUUCAAUCACAUCCCCAGUAUACC